AUGGAGGUCUCAGGCGCUGCAGCGAAGGGGAAGAAGGGCGCGGCCGGGCGCAAGGCCGGCGGCCCUAGGAAGAAGUCGGUGACGCGGUCCGUCAAGGCCGGGCUGCAGUUCCCCGUCGGCCGCAUCGGGCGCUACCUCAAGAAGGGCCGCUACGCCCAGCGCGUCGGCACCGGCGCCCCCGUCUACCUCGCCGCCGUCCUCGAGUACCUCGCCGCUGAGCUGCUGGAGCUCGCCGGGAACGCCGCCAAGGACAACAAGAAGAGCCGCAUCAUCCCGCGCCACCUGCUGCUCGCCGUCCGGAACGACGAGGAGCUCGGAAAGCUGUUGGCCGGCGUCACCAUCGCGCACGGCGGCGUGAUCCCCAAGAUCAACCCUGUGCUGCUCCCCAAGAAGACGGCGGAGAAGGAGGGCAAGGAGCCCAAGUCUCCCAAGAAGGCGACCAAGUCCCCGAAGAAGGCCACCAAGGCUUAG
rnacentral:rRNA from 1 species